GACGAACGCUGGCGGCGUGCUUAACACAUGCAAGUCGAACGGAAAGGCCCUGCUUUUGUGGGGUGCUCGAGUGGCGAACGGGUGAGUAACACGUGAGUAACCUGCCCUUGACUUUGGGAUAACUUCAGGAAACUGGGGCUAAUACCGGAUAGGAGCUCCUGCUGCAUGGUGGGGGUUGGAAAGUUUCGGCGGUUGGGGAUGGACGCGCGGCUUAUCAGUUUGUUGGUGGGGUAGUGGCUUACCAAGGCUUUGACGGGUAGCCGGCCUGAGAGGGUGACCGGCCACAUUGGGACUGAGAUACGGGCCAGACUCCUACGGGAGGCAGCGGUGGGGAAUAUUGCACAAUGGGCGGAAGCCUGAUGCAGCAACGCCGCGUGCGGGAUGACGGCCUUCGGGGUAUAAACCGCUUUCGCCUGUGACGAAGCGUGAGUGACGGUAAUGGGUAAGGAAGCACCGGCUAACUACGUG
rnacentral:rRNA from 1 species